rnacentral:lncRNA from 1 species
GUUCAUUGACAAACCAAGGUAAUAUAACUGUAAUAUAGAAGCUUUUUCAUGAAUCUAUCUAUAUGUAUAUGUAUUACAUAGAAAAUGUGGAUUGAUAUAAAUAUCUUGUGUUGGAAAUGAAUAAAGAGAAGUAAAUAUUAGUAGGUAGCCAUAAGAAAAGUAGGUUUAGUUGUGGAUUGGAGGCUUUUUUUCCGCUGGAGUGUAAUCCAUAACCACUACAUCAUCAACAAUAUUCUCCUCUACUCUUGGUUCAACAUGAUUCCUCUUCUCAUGGUCUACCCAAGUAUUACUCAAUUUCCUUGCUGCAUGUGUAAAUAAAACCUUAAAUAUAUAUAUAUAUAUCUACACACGUACAUACACAUAUAUAUAUGUAUAUAUUAUAUGUUUAUAAAACCCAAUAACUAUACCUGUUGCAGUUGCUGUAAUGAAGCAAGCGAGUAUAAAAACCAUAAGAAGGAGAUCACCCUUGUUGUAAUUAUAAGAAUGUCUACCCAUUCUCUCAACUAGAAGUGUAUGUAUAUAAUUCUGGUAACAAGGUUUGGUGUGUGUGUGUAUAUAUAUUUGUCAGGGAGUAUGUAUGUAUACGUCUAUAUAUAUAUAUUGUGUAUCAUAUAGAUGGAUGGAUUGAUGGAUGUCGGAAAGGAGUUUUGUAGUAAGUGGACGUGAUCUGAUAGGGUCG